GAUAAACGCUGGCGGCGUGCAUAACACAUGCAAGUCAAACGGGCGAGAAAGAGGUGCUUGCACCACUUUUGAGCAAGUGGCGGACGGGUGAGUAACGCGUGGAGAACCAACCUGGUGGAGGGGGACAACUUAGAGAAAUCUGAGCUAAUACCGCAUAAGCCUGUAUUGAGGCAUCUUGGUACAGGGAAAGGAGCAAUCCGCCACGAGACGGUUCCGCGUCUGAUUAGCUAGUUGGUAGGGUAAAGGCCUACCAAGGCGACGAUCAGUAGCCGAUCUGAGAGGGUGACCGGCCACAUUGGGACUGAGACACGGCCCAAACUCCUACGGGAGGCAGCAGUGGGGAAUAUUGCACAAUGGGGGAAACCCUGAUGCAGCGACGCCGCGUGAAGGAAGAAGUAUUUCGGUAUGUAAACUUCUAUCAGCAGGGAAGAAAAUGACGGUACCUGACUAAGAAGCCCCGGCUAAUUACGUGCCAGCCGCCGCUGUAAUAC
rnacentral:rRNA from 1 species